UACGAAGGGGGCUAGCGUUGCUCGGAAUCACUGGGCGUAAAGGGCGCGUAGGCGGUCAGCACAAGUCAGUUGUGAAAUCUCCGGGCUUAACUCGGAAAGGUCAACUGAUACUGUGCGACUAGAGUGCGGAAGGGGCAACUGGAAUUCUCGGUGUAGCGGUGAAAUGCGUAGAUAUCGAGAGGAACACCUGCGGCGAAGGCGGGUUGCUGGGCCGACACUGACGCUGAUGCGCGAAAGCCAGGGGAGCGAACGGG
rnacentral:rRNA from 1 species